GACGAACGCUGGCGGCGUGCUUAACACAUGCAAGUCGAACGGAAAGGCCCUGCUUUUGUGGGGUGCUCGAGUGGCGAACGGGUGAGUAACACGUGAGUAACCUGCCCUUGACUUUGGGAUAACUUCAGGAAACUGGGGCUAAUACCGGAUAGGAGCUCCUGCUGCAUGGUGGGGGUUGGAAAGUUUCGGCGGUUGGGGAUGGACUCGCGGCUUAUCAGCUUGUUGGUGGGGUAGUGUCUUACCAAGGCUUUGACGGGUAGCCGGCCUGAGAGGGUGACCGGCCACAUUGGGACUGAGAUACGGCCCAAACUCCUACGGGAGGCAGCAGUGGGGAAUAUUGCACAAUGGGCGGAAGCCUGAUGCAGCAACGCCGCGUGCGGGAUGACGGCCUUCGGGUUGUAAACCGCUUUCGCCUGUGACGAAGCGUGAGUGACGGUAAUGUGUAAAGAAGCACCGGCUAACUACGUG
rnacentral:rRNA from 1 species